AGCCUAUAAAGGUAGAGAAAGGACAAAGUUUCUGAUUAGAAGAAGCUUGCACUCUGAACAAAUACCGGAUGAAAGGAGGCAACGCCAUAGCAGCAAUGAAUGCGGUGCUAGGGUAGCCGCUGACAUGGAAUGGGGUCUUGUUGAGAAAGGCUUCUGGGUAACAUUCACCUUCUCUGGUGAUCCAUUACCGAACUACUGUUGUUUGGAUCCUUUGACAACCCUCUUUUCUACCUCCAACCACCUCCACUUAAGUUGUACUUAACAUUGUCCUUUGUUUACGUUUCCAUUUGUUGUUUAUCCUAUAAAAUUCAUGGUUUUUGCAUUUGUUUCUGUGCAGAGGAACUUCAGCUGGGGGCUGGAUUGCAGGCACUGUCGCUGAGGGGAAAAGGGGUCUUGGAGCCAUUUUUCAAGACCAGGUGGUGAAUACCCGACAGUACUUGGAACAUGUGAAAGACUCCACAACAGGAAUGCAAGGUAGAGUGGUGAAGCUAUUCCCCAACCAUUUCCAAGUGACCUCUCGCCCUGAACCCCUCACGUAUAAGUACAACAUUGAUUACAUGCCAGAGGUUGAAGAUGGAAAAGUUCGUACAGAUCUGCUCUGCCAGCAUAAACACGUAAUUGAAGAGUGUCCCACAUUUGAUGGGAACUCUUUAUUACUGCCUCAUAAACUACAAAAGCAGGGUAUAACAAUAGAACCUAUCGAGUGGAUGCUAUUAAUUGGGAGGAGACUCCCAGAAGUACGUUUAAGAAAUCAGGUGGUGAGGAAAUCACCUUCAUAGACUACUACAAGGAGCAACAUGGUCUAGUGGUCACUGCCCUAACUCAGCCACUUUUGGUCAGCAAAGGCAAAUGGAAAAAGAGCCAACAGGACACGCCCCAUGAGCCUAUAAUGCUGGUUCCCGAGCUGUGCUACCUGACAGGUCUAACAGAUGAACUGCAUAAAGACUACAGAGUGAAGAGAGACAUGGCUGUGCAUACAAGGUUGGAUCCAGAAAAAAAGGCAGCAUGAAUUACAAAGAUUCACGAAUAUUGGACAAAAAAAUAAGAGUGCACAAAAGGAACUCCAACUUUGGGAUUUGAAAUUUGACCCCAACUUCGUGUCCUACUCAGGAAGAAUUAUGAAAGAAGUAAGAAUUCUUCAAAGAAGCAGAGCGCUCAAGUUUGGACAUGUGUGAAAAUGUACAAGAAGCACGAGAAUUGAGAAGCACUUGACUUCUGAGUUCGGUUCCAUGUGGAAUAAAAACACAUGUGGCACCAUUUCUGUCAUCAGGAAAUCUCAGUCCUCCCAGAAUUAAAUUAAAACAUAAUCGGAUGAUGAAAUAGGUGAGUCCUGGUAUGGUAGGGUGGCAAGAGGACCCUUUAACAUAAGGAGCCCCUUCUGAAUCAAUCUCAUUUCAGAACUGAGCCCCCUUUGAAAGGAGUUGGAAACCAGAGAAGAAUCUCCUAGAGGAGGAGUCCACUCUUCUGCAACCUCCUUUUUGCUGAUCAUGACUUGGACUGUUGUACGAGAUGUUGAAUUGAGUUUCUCCCAUUGAUUGGUUCAACCUCUCAGCUGCUGCUGUGGGUCUGAGCCACGGCCAGGUUGGAGUGGUUCUGUGAGUUGGGAGGAUCUCUCAGCCUAGACUGGCAAUGGCAGGCAGAAAUAGAAUGGGACCCACCCAUGUCAACUACAGAUUGUCUAGUAGCUCUAUGGUAAAAAGAAACAAGUCAAAAAUCAAAUCAUUGUAAUGGGCAAAAUGGUACCACUUCAACGUGUAUUUGAUUUCAAAAAUACAUUGUUUUUAAAACCUCAACAAGAAAGUUUCUUCUUCUUCUUCUUCUUCUUCU